rnacentral:rRNA from 1 species
UACGGAGGGUGCAAGCGUUGUCCGGAUUUCUUGGGUUUAAAGGGUGCGUAGGCGGCCUUGUAAGUCAGUGGUGAAAGCCUCCAGCUCAACUGGAGAACUGCCAUUGAUACUGCAAGGCUUGAGUACAGACGAGGUUGGCGGAAUUGAUUGUGUAGCGGUGAAAUGCAUAGAUACAAUCAAGAACUCCGAUUGCGUAGGCAGCUAACUAGGCUGUAACUGACGCUGAGGCACGAAAGCGUGGGGAGCGAACGGG